GACGAACGCUGGCGGCGUGCUUAACACAUGCAAGUCGAACGGAAAGGCCCCUUUGGGGGUACUCGCGUGGCGAACGGGCGAGUAACACGUGAGUAACCUGCCUUUGACUUCGGGUUAGCUUCAGGCAACUGGGGCUAAUACCGGCUGGGAAUCAUUGCUGCCUGGUGGGGGUUGGUAAGCUUCGGUGGUUUGGGAUGGACUGGCGGCUUAUCAGCUGGUUGGUGGGGUAGUGGGUUUCAAAGGCUUUGACGGGUAGCUGGCCUGAGAGGGUGACUGGCCAAAUUGGGCCUGAGAUCCGGCCAAGCUUCCUAGGGGAGGAACAAGUGGGGAUUAUUCACAAAUGGGCGGAACCCUGAUCAACAACGCCGGCGGGGGGGAUGCCGGCUUCGGGGUUGAAACCGGUUUCAGCAUGUGCGGAACUGGGAGUGACGGUACCGGGUGAAGAAGCACCGGCUAACUACGUG
rnacentral:rRNA from 1 species